UUAAAGUUUGAUUUUAGCUUUAAAUUUGUUUAAUUUAAAAUUUACAUGAAAAUUAUAGUAAGAAUAUAAAUUAAUAUUUUAAAAAUAUAAAAUAUUUUAAUCUCAGUAUAAAAAAUUAAUUAUAAAAGAAAUUUUGAUUUAGUUAAUAAUUUUAAUAUAAGAUAAAUUUGUGCCAGCAUCUGCGGUUAUACAAAUUAUAUAAAUAAAUUAUAUUAGUAAAUAAUUAAAUUGAUAUAUUAAUAAAUUAAUUUUUUAUUUAAAAGGUAAAAUUUUAAAAUUAAAAUAAAGUAUUUAUUUAAAUUAAAUUGAAGUUAUAAAAAUUUUAUUAUAAACUAGGAUUAGAUACCCUAUUAUUAAAAUUAUAAAUUAAUUAUACUAAGGUAGUAAUAGUUAUAAUCUUUAAACUUAAAAAAUUUGGCGGUAUUUUAGUCUAUUUAGAGGAACCUGUUUUUUAAUCGAUAAUCCACGAUAAAUUUUACUAUUUUUAAUAAAAAUUUGUAUAUCGUCGUUAUCAGAAUAUUUUAAAAGAAAAUUAAUAUUCAAUAAAUUAUAUUAAAUUUAAUUUCAGAUCAAGGUGCAGUUUAUAAAUUAGUAAAAAUGGGUUACAAUAAAUUUAUUUAUAUGAAUAUUUAAUUGAAAUAUUAAAUUAAAAGUGGAUUUAAUAGUAAAUUUAUUAAAAUUAAUAAAUUGAUUAUAGCUCUAAAAUAUGUACAUAUCGCCCGUCGCUCUUUUUAUUAAAAAAAGAUAAGUCGUAACAUAGUAGAUGUACUGGAAAGUGUAUCUAGAAAGAA
rnacentral:ncRNA from 1 species